AAGUCGUAACAAGGUUUCCGUAGGUGAACCUGCGGAAGGAUCAUUACAAAAACAAAAUCCAAACCACACCACUGUGCUCUUUAUUGUGAGAAAAAUGUCUUUGUGUGUUGCUGUGUUGUUGGGGGAGAGGAGAAGAAUUUAUUUUUCCCCUUUCUUUCCUUCACACACACACACAAGCUUUUCCUCACAUGUCUUUGUUUUCAAUUUUUCAUUACUCCUUGUUUAACCAACAACGGAUUACAAUGUUAAAACUUGAAACAAACAAACAAAACAAAAUGACAACUUUUAACGGUGGAUCUCUUGGCUCGU
rnacentral:misc_RNA from 1 species